AGUCUAAAGUUUGUUCAUUUUAGAUAAAGCCUGCCCAAUGCUCAAAGAAGUUAAUGGCCGCAGUACCCUGACUGUGCUAAGGUAGCGUAAUCAGUUGGCUUUUAAAUGGAGUCGUGUAUGAAUGGAUUAAUGGGGUGAGACUGUCUCUUUUAGAUUUAUUUGAAUUUAGUGAAAAGGUGAAAAUACCUUCAGAAAGACAAAGGACGAUAAGACCCUAGGAGUUUGCCUAAAGGAAUAUUUUAAAUUCUACAGUUUUGCUGGGGCGGCAUAGAGGCAGAGUAUGGAAAUAACCCUCUUUAAAAGUUAGCCGAAUAUUUUAAGAACGAAUAAACUACCCUAGGGAUAACAGCAUUAUUCUUUAAAGAGUUUGUGACCUCGAUGUUGGACUAGGAAUUAAUCAGGCUAGCCGCUUGAAUAUAUUGUUCUGUUCGAACUAUUUUUCC
rnacentral:rRNA from 1 species